GCCAAGCCGUAAAAACUUUACCUACACCAACUACCGCCAGGGAACUACGAGCUUCAGCUUAAAACCCAAAGGACUUGACGGUGUCCCACCCAGCUAGAGGAGCCUGUUCUAUAAUCGAUAAUCCACGAUAUACCCAACCCCUUCUUGCUAUUCAGCCUGUAUACCUCCGUCGUAAGCCUACCCUAUGAAUGUAUAAAAGUAGGCUUAAGGGUGUUACACCACAACGUCAGGUCAAGGUGCAGCUUAUGAAGUGGAAGCAAUGGGCUACAAUUUCUAAUUUAGAACAAACGAAAUACUAUAUGAAAUAUAGUUAUGAAGGAGGAUUUAGUAGUAAGCAGGGAAUAGAGAGCCCUACUAAACAUGGCCCUGGGACGCGUACACACCGCCCGU
rnacentral:rRNA from 1 species